CAUGGAUGGGUGUGGAAAUGAGAGGAAAAAGUGAAAAAAUUUGAGAAAAAGAUAAAUAAAACAAAAGAGAGAAAAAUAAAAAGGAAGAGAGGAAGAAAAAUGAAAAGUAUGAGAUACUUGUCCAAAAAUCAGAUUGUUCAUAUGUUUAACAUAAAAUCUGAUAUGAGUGUGGUUUGAUACUUUAGAAAAGAGUUUCUAAAGAGAUCUUAGUGGAGGUCAUGAAGGCAUACAAGCAAUGGUGCAUCGAGUUCUAGCGAAGGACGAUCGGCAGCUAGCUUGCGAAGAAGACUGCAGCACCAUGAUGAGUUGGGAAGGGCCCUGAUCAAUCCUAUGUGGAUCACCGUUGGAGGGCUUCUACUUUGGAGCCUCAUGAAGAUCUCAAAAUCAUCAGUUCAUGGUCUUUAUGGUGGUAUAAGACUUCUGAUCUUCUCCUCAUAUGCUUGAUUUUGUGCUUUGAUUGUAAUCGUCAAGGGGUUCCUAGGGUUUUUGAGUUCUAGUGGAUGUGUUUAAGUAUUAAACUUUAUUUUCAAGUGUUGAAUGCAUGACAAAAAUUUUUGAAAUCUAUAUUCCACUGCAUCAUCGAAACCCAAUAGUAGCCUUCCGACCAUUGAAAUUUUUGAAAUCUAUGUCCAUAGAAAUUAAGAUUUUUAACCUUUCUAGGGGGCCAUCUUUUGCCUCCCCCAAUGUAGCCUUCUAAACCUCCUCAAAAGAAUAUCCUGAAGGUAGAUGGGUUUCGAGAGAGAGGUGCACAUGCCAUCUCUAAUAUCCUUUAAAGGGGGCCGGUAAGUGUCGCAAAAUGGAGAGUUCUGUGCUCUCCAUCAAAGAUCGUAAUAUUGGCUAGGGCUUGGCUUGUGCUCCAAGGGCAACGGUCAGUUCUGAGCUUUGUAUUUCUUCUUUCUUUGUUGUAACGAGCCUCG
rnacentral:lncRNA from 1 species